rnacentral:misc_RNA from 1 species
AGGUGAACCUGCGGAAGGAUCAUUCAAAAUAAAAGUGAUUUUUAUGGCACUUUUAAAAAAAAUCCAUAUCCACCUUGUGUGCAAUGUAAUGAGAGGGAGAAGAAAAAAAAAUAAUUUUUUUUAAUCUUCUCUCUUUUAUAUAUUAUCUCAACUCUUUGCUUUGAAACCUGUUUGUCUGAAAAAAAAAUAUAUUCUUUGAAUAACUUAAUUCAAAAAUACAACUUUCAACAACGGAUCUCUUGGCUCUCG